UUCAGAUGAUUGAGAGCGGCAUUUAUUUUACAACAGUAUUCGUAAUCAAAGGUAUCAUGCUAGGUUCUAAGAUCUUGUCCCUUUUGUUUUCAGCUUCUUGACCGCUUUCGAAGGUGACUGAUGAAUGUGCUCCAGUUGAUGUCUCCUCGAUCUCAAAUGUAUAUUAUUACGUGGAUUAGGAUUAUCGUUAGUUCUUAACCAACAGUUCUUGUUCUCAUGUAUCUCAUACCAUGUCCUAAUAUUAACCACAAACAUCAUUAUAUGGUUCACAAUCUGUUGAUUGGAA